rnacentral:rRNA from 1 species
CUUUGAUCCUGGCUCAGGAUGAACGCUAGCUACAGGCUUAACACAUGCAAGUCGAGGGGAAACGAUAGAGAAAGCUUGCUUUUUCUAGGCGUCGACCGGCGCACGGGUGAGUAACGCGUAUCCAACCUGCCCAUCACUUGGGGAUAACCUUGCGAAAGUAAGACUAAUACCCAAUGAUAUCUCAAGAAGACAUCUGAAUGAGAUUAAAGAUUUAUCGGUGAUGGAUGGGGAUGCGUCUGAUUAGCUUGUUGGCGGGGUAACGGCCCACCAAGGCGACGAUCAGUAGGGGUUCUGAGAGGAAGGUCCCCCACAUUGGAACUGAGACACGGUCCAAACUCCUACGGGAGGCAGCAGUGAGGAAUAUUGGUCAAUGGGCGAGAGCCUGAACCAGCCAAGUAGCGUGCAGGAAGACGGCCCUAUGGGUUGUAAACUGCUUUUAUAAGGGAAUAAAGUGAGUCUCGUGAGACUUUUUGCAUGUACCUUAUGAAUAAGGACCGGCUAAUUCCGUGCCAGCAGCCGCGGUAAUACGGAAGGUCCGGGCGUUAUCCGGAUUUAUUGGGUUUAAAGGGAGCGUAGGCCGGAGAUUAAGCGUGUUGUGAAAUGUAGAUGCUCAACAUCUGCACUGCAGCGCGAACUGGUUUCCUUGAGUACGCACAAAGUGGGCGGAAUUCGUGGUGUAGCGGUGAAAUGCUUAGAUAUCACGAAGAACUCCGAUUGCGAAGGCAGCUCACUGGAGCGCAACUGACGCUGAAGCUCGAAAGUGCGGGUAUCGAACAGGAUUAGAUACCCUGGUAGUCCGCACGGUAAACGAUGGAUGCCCGCUGUUGGUCUGAAUAGGUCAGCGGCCAAGCGAAAGCAUUAAGCAUCCCACCUGGGGAGUACGCCGGCAACGGUGCAACUCAAAGGAAUUGACGG